AUUGCCCUUAGUAACGGCGAAGUGAAGCGGCAACAGCUUCAAAUUUGAAAUCUGGCUCUCGGGCCCGAGUUGUAAUUUGUAGAGGAUGACUUUGAUGCGGUGCCUUCCGAGUUCCCUGGAACGGGACGCCAUAGAGGGUGAGAGCCCCGUCUGGUUGGAUGCCAAAUCUCUGUAAGUCUCCUUCGACGAGUCGAGUAGUUUGGGAAUGCUGCUCUAAAUGGGAGGUAUAUGUCUUCUAAAGCUAAAUACCGGCCAGAGACCGAUAGCGCACAAGUAGAGUGAUCGAAAGAUGAAAAGCACUUUGAAAAGAGAGUUAAAAAGUACGUGAAAUUGUUGAAAGGGAAGCGUUUAUGACCAGACUUGGGCUUGGUUAAUCAUCUGGGGUUCUCCCCAGUGCACUUUUCCAGUUCAGGCCAGCAUCAGUUUUCGCCGGGGGAUAAAGACUUCGGGAAUGUGGCUCCUCUCGGGGAGUGUUAUAGCCCGUUGUGUAAUACCCUGGUGGGGACUGAGGUUCGCGCUUCUGCAAGGAUGCUGGCGUAAUGGUCAUCAACGACCCGUCUUGAAACACGGACCAAGGAGUCGUCUUCGUAUGCGAGUGUUCGGGUGUCAAACCCCUACGCGUAAUGAAAGUGAACGCAGGUGAGAGCUUCGGCGCAUCAUCGACCGAUCCUGAUGUUCUCGGAUGGAUUUGAGUAAGAGCAUACGGGGCCGGACCCGAAAGAAGGUGAACUAUGCCUGUGUAGGGUGAAGCCAGAGGAAACUCUGGUGGAGGCUCGCAGCGGUUCUGACGUGCAAAUCGAUCGUCAAACAUGGGCAUGGGGGCGAAAGACUAAUCGAACCUUCUAGUAGCUGGUUUCCGCCGAA
rnacentral:rRNA from 1 species